GGAACAAAAAAAAAACAAAGCUGUUGAUAAAUCUUGGCAGCCAAAAUGCCUUUAAAACAACAACAAAGACAAACAUAUAUACAUUAUUUGGUUAAAUCUCAAACAAGUUGUAGUAAUUUAGCAUUCAAUCAACAGUGAUGACAAGGAAGUAACCAAGAAUCAAGUACAAUCAAUAACGUGCAUAAACUAUCAUACAUACGAGGAAGAGAAAGAGAACCUAUGAGAGAUAUCAGGAGAGACUUGAAGAAGACGUGGAAAACGGAGAAGCAACUAAACCAUGAAUUAACUCUUCUUAUCAUAUCUUCAUUUUUUUUUUUCCUUCUCUAUUUUUAGACCAAGAUUAAACCCGAUAAAUACACAAUACUUUUCCAUUUUCUUUUUCUCUCUAUCUUAUGUCCUAUUAUUAUUAUUA
rnacentral:misc_RNA from 1 species